UCAAGAGCAGAUCGCCAAUGGAAGCUACACCAUCCUGCUCCAGCCGGAUCUGGAGGCCGGCGCACCAUGAUUCACCAAGGGCACCGUCGUGAGGUUCGUGCAGCACACUGGAGGUUUGGGAGCACGUGAUGACCAUCAUGUCCAGGAUACUGCAGCUCGAGGACACCAUAGCCGUCCAGAGCAAUGAUAUCUUGGAUUGAAAUCUGCAGAAGGCCACGAUAGGAAACCGGUUAACUCCGUGGAAGUACAUCCUCUCCUCCUCUGAUGUUGAUGUGAAAUCUCCUUCUACAAGGUAACUAGACAACAUUCCUACAAAUUUGCAAGCUUUGUUUCUCUUAAGUCUUCC